rnacentral:sRNA from 1 species
GCCAACCAGGGCCAUUCCCUGCAGGUACCUAAGUUGGAGCUGAUGCCCCUGGAGACACCGCAGGCCCUGCCCCUGAUGCUAGUCCAUGGUCCCCUUCAAAGGUUACAACACUUGUCUGGGGCCACCCCAUGUCCGGCAUGGAGCAGCACCCCUGCAUCCCCCAGCCCAGGACCCCAGUCUGCCCAGGUUGCUGACUGCACUCCAGGUGCCCAGGCCUCAGCUCCAGCUGUCUCUGCAGGCAUGCGGUCCCAUUGUGAAAUAGCUGUGUUCAUCGAUGGACCCCUGGCUCUGGCAGGUGAGUCUGGACAAAGCAGGAGCUGCCCUUGCCUUCGGGGAGGGCAUGAGUCACAUCUCUGGCUCUGUCAGCAGAUGGAAUACCCUUCUUCCGCUCUGCCAAUGGGGUGAUUCUGACUCCAGGGAAUACUGAUGGCUUCCUCCUUCCCAAGUACUUCAAGGAGGCCCUGCAGCUACGCCCUACCCGAAAGCCCCUUUCCUUGGCUGGUGAUGAAGAGACAGAGUGUCAGAGUAGCCCCAAGCACAGCUCCAGAGAAAGGAGAAGGAUCCAACAAUAAAAUAUUAAUUUAUAAAAAAGAAAUUUUAAAAAGUAACAAGAAAGAA